rnacentral:rRNA from 1 species
AGCGUUGUUCGGAUUUACUGGGCGUAAAGCGCACGUAGGCGGAUCUUUAAGUCAGAGGUGAAAUCCCAAGGCUCAACCUUGGAACUGCCUUUGAUACUGGGGAUCUUGAGUCCGGGAGAGGUGAGUGGAACUGCGAGUGUAGAGGUGAAAUUCGUAGAUAUUCGCAAGAACACCAGUGGCGAAGGCGGCUCACUGGCCCGGUACUGACGCUGAGGUGCGAAAGCGUGGGGAGCAAACAGG